CUUUCACUUUUAUUAUGCACCACGUCUGCGUCCGCAAAGAAUGAUGGGGUUUUGUUACGACAUAAUGACGCAUUUGCACAUGUGAUAUUGUAUAGUUUGCAAUCUCUUACUUCGUCAUGAUCAUUCUCGUUGAACAGAAAUUAUGCUCGUUAUUGACUUUAAUGCAUGGCUAUAAGCACGUGAAUCAUGAGCGCCGACGACGACGUUGAUAACGUUGAUCAACAAGAAUUAAACAGUGUUUUAUGUACUGAACAUGUUGCAAGCGAUUGUUGAAAUUCAUAUUUUAUUGAAAUUCUGCAGUGGCAGUACGGCCCUACAAACGAACGAUUUGUCUCUUAAUCAAGACAGUAAAUAUCAAUAUGCUGCCCUGUUGAAGUGCUAGAAAUCCUACGGAGAGGAAUGCAAUCAAGUUGAUGAUGCCAAUUCACUUCAGGAAACAAAUCAAGAUGAACUAAAUGAACUUGAAUUAAAAGUUCUUGAGGUCAUCAAUCUCUUUGAGGACAGCAGGCAGAAUAUGGACUGUCAUCUUGAGUUUAUGUCGGUUCCUCUAGAACUUUGAUGACUGCAAUUUGUUAUGGCAUGUCGAAAUACAAUUUAUCUUUAUACAACCAUUGAAAUUGUAUAGCAAACUCAAUAAUUGGGGGAGAACGUAUUCAUACAUGCAUGUUCUGCAGAAUUAAAUUCUUUUUAAAAUCCAUUCUUUUCUAUAGAUUAAGACAUGCAUUCAUAAAUUUGAACCCUUCCCCCUUCUUCAUCAACGAGUUUGCUACGCGCCUGUUAUGAAAUAGACAGAGUAAAUUAGAACAUAAAUAGAAAAUUUUUAUCAUUUGUCCAUAGUAAAAUUUAGACUUACUUAAGUAAGUUAAUUAAGGCUCAAAUAUCGCCACGUCCAAUAUAAUGUCAAUGUCAUUAAUAGGAAAGUACACACAGGUUAGAGAUAUUAUGGGGAAAAACAACUUGAUAUUUUUUGUAUCGAAUAAUUUCUAGUCAAAUAAGGAGAGGCACCCUAUCUGUUGUAACCAAAUGAGUUUUUUGUUGUCAAUAAGUUAUUGGAAUUGUAAAGGUUAGCCGAGAAGUUCAUUAAGUAUUCAAAAAGUAACAAAUUCAAUAACCAAGCAUUGUAACUGUACAAUAGCUUUAUUCGUAAGUAUGCUUAACAUAUUGGCCAAUGGACAGUGUGUAAAUUGGUUGUAUUCAACGAUAUUUUUUUCCCUCUUUUUGUUUCUAAGCACAGUAGAUCGGGGAUUCAUCGUAUAUAUUAAUCACAUUCUGCUUCUCCUAGCCUUGAUAACUUUCUUAUGUAAUCAACACCUUGGUCCUUUGGGCUUUUAAUUCUUG